rnacentral:piRNA from 1 species
UGAGAGAUUCAAGUGCACGGUUUGACC